CCUUUCGAUAAGAAAGUGCAUUUCUAGCGUCGGCUGGAGAGCCGACAGUCCGCAGUCCCUGGCAAGGGGAGGAGGUUUGCGGGGCGCUGCCGGGGGUGGGGGUGGGGCUGAGCGCUGGGUCAGCCCCUCCCCAACCUCCCCCAGCCUCGGGCCAGCCACGAAUGUGGGUGGUUGGGGGGUGAAGGCGGAGGACGGGUGAGGAAGGAAGGGGCUGGGAAAUGCGAAGAGAUUAUUCUGCCUCAGGAACUACAUAAUGGCCGGGAAGGACCGCCAAACAAGACUGCAACCAAUAGGAAGUUGUACGACGCUCCUACAUUUGACUCAACCACAGGAACAAUUGCACCAGAAGGGGCAAAAUGUCCCCCUAAGAGGAAGAGAAGAGAAAACAGCAAUUGAUCCUCUGGGCUUUUGAUUGAGUUUAUAUUAAAUUUAUGGUUGAAUCUGGGAAGAACUGACAUCUAUACAAUCUGGCCAUGGUGGACUAAAAGGGACCGGACUUACCCCUUGCCUUAGACAACUAAAAGCAGGACAAAAUAUAUAAAACAAUGAUUUUCAGACAUUAGACAACAGACAGUGCAGAACUGUGACCCUUAAGAGAGGGAAAUAAAUGAGGAAGGGCCUGCAAAUGCCCCAGUUUGCUACCUGUAGAGAAUUUCAGGUGACAAGGCAGUGGGGGGAGAACCCAGACAGAGCCUGAUGGGUGGACUAGCUAAAUAUCUCAGAAUUCAGGGAUUCCAAGGCCGCUAGAAUUCACAAGGCAGAGUACCAGAGGAAAGAACUGAAGAGAGCUCUGGAGUUCCACAGAGGGUUCUCCUCAAAUCUGCUGCUGAGUAAUGAUCGGCAUGCACGUGUGAGGAAAGCUGCCUAAGGACAGGGAAGGAACUUCAUGAAAAUAUCAAGCAAACAAUGCCUAAACCUCAUACAGGGCUGAGGACAGUUUGUGUUCUCGCCGUCCUGUGAGGAAAGGCCUAACACACAGGGUAUCAAGGGGAAUACUCACAAGGAGUACUCGGUGGUAGGACAAAUUAGUCCUAUACCACCAAGCUGUUCUGGUCCUACCUGAAAAGCAAGCAUCAAAAGACUCUUUCCAAGUAACUUAACCAUGUCCCAGAGCAAUACUGAGAAUAUUUAUAAGAAUACAAAAGCAUCCAGGACUCAGCAAAGCAAAAUUCACAAAUCAGGCACCGAUUUAAAAAUUAACAGGCGUAACAAAAAAGCAAGAAAAUGCAACUCAUAAUUGGAAAAAAACAAUCAAUUGAAAUUAAUCCAGAAAUGACAUAGAUGAAAAAUUAGUAGAAAGCACAUUGAAAUGCUAUUGAAAAUAUACUCCAUAUAUUCAAUAAGGUAGGAAAGCAUGAACUUUAUAAAAAGAGAAAAGAUAUUCUAAAAAUCACAAAUCAAGCUUUAGAGAUGAAAAUAGUGGCUAGGGUUAACAGCAUGUUAGAAAUUGCAGAGCAAAAGACUAGGGAACUUGAAGAUACUGCCAUAAAAACUAUCCAAACUGAAACAAAGUGAAGAUAAAGCAUUAAUGGGGGCAGAGGUGGAACAAUUUAUAGAGGCGAAAUGUAUGUCUAAUUAGAGUCCCAGAAGGAGAAGUGGACCAAGUGGGGUCCAAAAAAAGGUGCCCGGAGAACAAUGUCUGG